UACGUAGGGGGCGAGCGUUGUCCGGAAUCAUUGGGCGUAAAGAGCUCGUAGGCGGUUCAGUAAGUCAGGUGUGAAAGCUCCGAGCUCAACUCGGAGAGGCCACCUGAUACUGCUGUGACUAGAAUCCAGUAGGGGAGUGUGGAACUCCUGGUGUAGCGGUGAAAUGCGCAGAUAUCAGGAAGAACACCCGUGGCGAAGGCGGCUCUCUGGGACGGUACUGACGCUGAGACGCGAAAGCGUGGGGAGCGAACAGG
rnacentral:rRNA from 1 species